rnacentral:rRNA from 1 species
UACGUAGGGUCCGAGCGUUGUCCGAAGUUACUGGGCGUAAAGCGCGCGUAGGCGGCUCGGAAAGUCGGUCGUGAAAUGCCGGGGCUCAACCCCGGGACUGCGUCCGAUACUUCCGGGCUGGAGGUAGGUAGGGGAGAUCGGAAUUCCUGGUGUAGCGGUGAAAUGCGCAGAUAUCAGGAGGAACACCGGUGGCGAAGGCGGAUCUCUGGGCCUUACCUGACGCUGAGGCGCGAAAGCUAGGGGAGCGAACAGG